rnacentral:misc_RNA from 1 species
GAUGAAGAACGUAGCGAAAUGCGAUACGUAAUGUGAAUUGCAAAUUCAGGGAAUCAUCGAGUCUUUGAACGCACAUUGCGCCCCCUGGUAUUCCGGGGGGCAUGCCUGUCCGAGCGUCAUUGCUGCCCUCAAGCACGGCUUGUGUGUUGGGCCCCGUCCUCCGAUCCCGGGGGACGGGCCCGAAAGGCAGCGGCGGCACCGCGUCCGGUCCUCGAGCGUAUGGGGCUUUGUCACCCGCUCUGUAGGCCCGGCCGGCGCUUGCCGAUCAACCCAAAUUUUUAUCCAGGUUGACCUCGGAUCAGGUAGGGAUACCCGCUGAACUUAAGCAUAUCAAUAAGCGGAGGA